rnacentral:rRNA from 1 species
ACGGAAGGCAGCAGUGGGGAAUAUUGCACAAUGGGGGGAACCCUGAUGCAGCGAUGCCGCGUGGAGGAAGAAGGUUUUCGGAUUGUAAACUCCUGUCUUAAAGGACGAUAAUGACGGUACUUUAGGAGAAAGCUCCGGCUAACUACGUGCCAGCAGCCGCGGUAAUACGUAGGGAGCGAGCGUUGUCCGGAAUUACUGGGUGUAAAGGGAGCGUAGGCGGGAUUGCAAGUCAGAUGUGAAAACUAUGGGCUUAACCCAUAGACUGCAUUUGAAACUGUAGUUCUUGAGUGAAGUAGAGGUAAGCGGAAUUCCUGGUGUAGCGGUGAAAUGCGUAGAUAUCAGGAGGAACACCGGUGGCGAAGGCGGCUUACUGGGCUUUUACUGACGCUGAGGCUCGAAAGCGUGGGGAGCAAACAGGAUUAGAUACCCUGGUA